GGGAGCAUGACACGGGGCUUGAUUACAUCUAGACAUCUAGAUCUGAUGACAUGGCUGGUUUUAAUUUUGAUAGUUGAAGCUAAAACACCUAAAGACAAUGGUUGUUCACCGGAACAGUAUUACGACAGUGGAUUACGGGAAUGUUUUUAUUGUGCUGUUUUGUGUAAAAAGGCUGAAGCCAGAGGUCAGUUAUCAGAAUGUCUGACCAACUGUCCGGAUUAUUUGAAACAAUUCACGACAACCGUGAAUAUACAGAGGUCAUAUGAAACUACUGCCUACCCAACGACAACCUUGAAUAUACCAAGGUCAUAUGAAGCUACAAACCAGCCAACGUCAAUAUUGACUAUCCCACGAUCAUAUGAAACUACAACACGACCAAGGUCAUAUGAAACUACAACACGGCCAAGAUCAUAUGACACUACAACACGGCCAAGAUCAUAUGACACUACAACACGGCCAAGUCCUGUCACCAGCAGUAUUGUUCAAGGGUGGAAUAAAGGUCACGCCAUAGCAAUAGGAGUACCAGGUCUGGUAGUUGUUUCUGCAAUACUCAUUAAACUCUGUAGGAAAAAAUCGGGAAGAACCAGAGGUAGGGUGGAAGUGCAACAAGAUUUACUAGAACAGGGAAACACAGACACAAACAGGCGGGAUUGCGCAAUAGACGUUUGCACAUCGAAUGGAUUUACAGCUGUUCAAGAAAGUCAACCACCAAUAAGUUCUUCAGAGCGUAUAAUGUUAUAAUUGAAAUAAAAUGGGGUUUAACAUCCUACUGCUCUGGUCUGGUCGGAAUAAUGAAGACGGUUUCCGAUAUAAUAAUAGUACCUUUCUGACCAACAGAAGAUGAGUAAAACUAUUUUAAGUGUGUUUGUGAGUUAAAUAUCUUGUUACGAUGCUUGUUAUCUUCAGUAGGCUAUCAGGGAUUUUGUUUUUGACCAAAAGCGCAGUGGAACAAAAACUGUUAAGGGCAUAUAGUUUUGUUUUUAAAUGGCUUAUUUGUUAUGUUCCGUGUGGUAUUUGUGCCUUGUGUGUGUAUAUUUGUGUCUUGUGUAUAUCUAUGCAUUGUGUAUGUAUUGUCUUGUGUGUGUAUAUCUGUGUCUUUUGUAUAUGUAUCUGUGUCUUGUGUAUGUAUAUUUGUGUUUUGAGUAUGUAUAUUUUGUGUCUUGUGUAUGUAUAUUUGUGUCUUGUGUAUGUAUAUUUGUGUCUUGUGUAUGUAUAUUUGUAUAUUGUGUAUGUGUAUUGUGUAUGUAUAUUUGUGUCUGUAUAUUUGAAUCGCUUUUUUAAACUUCAUCUGCAUAAACCAUCAUUUUGUUAAAAUACCGUGUGUUAUUUGCGUCUUGUGUAUGUAUAUUUGUGUAUUUUGUAUAUAUAUUAUGUAUUGUGUAUGUAUAUUUGUGUAAUGUGUAUGUUUUGUUAUGUAGAUCUGUGUCUUGCGUGUGUAUAUUUG